rnacentral:lncRNA from 1 species
GAAGAGCCAUUUGUGGUAUGGGGAUGCAACACCAAGUUUUGGAAAUGGUGCAUGCAAGAGGAAGGUGGAACCAUGUACUCCCUCCGUCCCAAAAUAAGUGUCAACUUUGUAUUAGCUUUAGUACAAAGUUGUACUAAACUCGAGACACUUUAUUUUGGGACGGAGGGAGUAUAUUUAUAGCCGCCGUGGGUUGCUCAUGAGUCAAGAUUUGGAAACCUUCGGUUUUGAAUGGCCGAGGUUUACAAAUCCGCUGAGACAUGGGAUUGGAGACAUUUUUCUCUCUGGUGUAUAUGUACCUGCAACUUCCUUGUUCAUCCUAUGCUGCAUAAGCUGUAGUUUAUGUAAAAUAGUAUUUUGGCCUUCUGCACCUAUUUGUACUAUAUCUUAUCCGGCCUGUUUGAAGAUAUUGUUCUGUGGACUGGUGGAUUGGCAUGUCCGGUGACUCCGUCCCAAAUAGAAAGGCCAUGGCCUUGCUCACAAUGCUCGCAUUGUGGACAAUAUGGAAUGAAAGGAACGCAAGAG